rnacentral:ncRNA from 2 species
AGUUUAUCCCGUGGUGAUUUGGCCGGCCGGCUUGCAGCCACGAUAGAUUAUAUGUGAUUAUAAACAAAAUUUC